rnacentral:ncRNA from 1 species
UCCAUCGUGAGGUGGAAUCUGAAGGAAGCCAGCGGCAAAUUCUCGGCCUGACGAACAGAAACUACAUAUAAGGCCAAAGUUGUCUGGAUGAGGUUGCCCAACAAACCAAAGUCCUAUACUGCUCGGAGACAACAUGGUAGAUGUAGCGGGUAUACGAGAAGAAAGUUAUUGUU